AACUCUGCUGUCCUCUCUCAGGUCUUAAGGUAAUCGCUCAGAAGUUUCCAGAAGGUUUGACGACGGGCUCCCUCCCGACCUCCUGCCUCUCCUCCCCCUCGCCCUCGAAGGGGAAGAAGAGCUCCGUGCCGAAGCCUCCUCUGCAGGCCGCGGAGAAGUGCUGGAGGUUUGCUUCUGACGAUCUGACCAAGAUCCAGGAUCAGCUGGAGGAGAACCUCGUGCCCAGCAACUCCAACAGCCGGAUGUCGAGCCGCGUGUCCUCCGGCAGCUCUCUCUCCAAAGCGUCCAGCGCUCGCAGCCGACAGAGUUCGUCCUCCUCCUCCUCCGUAGCAGGGAGGGACAGCAGCAGGGCUCAGAGCAGCAGACCCUGGAAAUAACACCUUCAUCAUCCACACAGAAAUACAUGAACAAACAUACCUCUGACUAAGAGUCCCUUUAUUUCAUGUUUCGAGUUAUAGAAGUGUAUAGAAACACAUCUCUACGACACAGAUGCUUAACAUUGAUUUAACCACCUUUUGGGGGAGGAGUUAACACGACACUGAAGUAGAGACCAAAAUGUUUAAAACUCUAAUCAAGACAUACAACAAUAUAAUCUGCAUAAUUUAGUUUCAGACUCAUCAGCUGCACAAAUUUAAAAGUAUUUUCCACUUUUUAUGUUUCUUAUAAUAUGUAAUAAAUGGCGUGUUUUUGAAUGUUUGCACAGUUUCUCAUCCGUCAACCUAAAGCCUGCACUCUAAUCUAUUGUUCAUGUAACUCUCCUUUGAAACAACCACCUGUCCAGAUAGAAACUUAACUCUGUGGAUAAUCUCUUAUUUCUUCUCCUUCUUCGUCUAAAAAGGUCACGUUGAAUUUCAGCCACUAGAUAAAUGUCACGUUUAUUGCUGGAGAAUCCUUGAAUGUCACGAUAUGAAACUAAAAAUCUGUGUUUGACACGAGGUGUAAUUUAUAUAAAUGACGUCACAGAGCUCGAUCCAUUUUGUAAAAUGAAGUAAAGAUGUGCUGUAUUUUUGUAAUUUUCUCAAGUAGCUUUUGUGUUCAACUUGUUCAUCCGCUAAUGCUGUCACGUGACUGGUUGCCUUUGUGUGUGUGUGUGAAGACAAUAAUGUGAGUUGUGAUCACACUGACUGGUUAGCAUGCAAACUGUCAUUAUACCAACAUCGCUGUGACAUUGAAGGGAGGAGACCUCACUGCCCACAGAUGCAUUUGAGAAACAGUAUUGAUUGCUAAUGUGUGGCCUUUUGUUUUGUGGCUUGGUGGUGAUUUUUGUUUUUGGCCUCUGAAUACACUCACGCAAUCUCUUGUUCGGUGCAUUUAAUAUGUGCUACCCUGCAGCCUGUGAUUUCAGGCAGUCUUAACUCACAUUAACAAUCUUGACACUUGAUUUUAUUUGUUAAUGAAUGUCAAAUAAAGUGUAUCAUUGUUUGCUGUA